AUUUAGGAGCUUGCUUCUAAUGAGAGUGGCGCACGGGUGCGUAACACGUAUGUAACCUACCUUUAUCAGGGGGAUAGCCUCUCGAAAGAGAGAUUAAGCCCGCAUAAAAUCACAGCACAGCAUUGUGAAAUGAUCAAAUAUUUAUAGGAUAAAGAUGGGCAUGCGGAACAUUAGCUAGUUGGUAAGGUAACGGCUUACCAAGGCUACGAUGUUUAGGGGAUCUGAGAGGAUGACCCCCCACACUGGUACUGAGACACGGACCAGACUCCUACGGGAGGCAGCAGUAAGGAAUAUUGGUCAAUGGGCGGAAGCCUGAACCAGCCAUGCCGCGUGCAGGAAGACGGCCCUACGGGUUGUAAACUGCUUUUGCAGGGGAAUAAACCCCCGAUCGUGAUCGGGGCUGAAUGUACUCUGAGAAUAAGGAUCGGCUAACUCCGUGCCAGCAGCCGCGGUAAUACGGAGGAUCCGAGCGUUAUCCGGAUUUAUUGGGUUUAAAGGGUGCGUAGGCGGCUUUUUAAGUCAGGGGUGAAAGACGGUAGCUUAACUAUCGCAGUGCCCUUGAUACUGAAGAGCUUGAAUGUACUAGAGGUAGGCGGAAUGUGACAAGUAGCGGUGAAAUGCAUAGAUAUGUCACAGAACACCAAUUGCGAAGGCAGCUUACUAUGGUAUGAUUGACGCUGAGGCACGAAAGCGUGGGGAUCAAACAGGAUUAGAUACCCUGGUAGUCCACGCCCUAAACGAUGAAUACUCGAUGUUAGCGAUAUACAGUUAGCGUCAAAGCGAAAGCGUUAAGUAUUCCACCUGGGGAGUACGCCCGCAAGGGUGAAACUC
rnacentral:rRNA from 1 species